GAAAAUAGGAGUACUCCGGCUGCAGACGCAAACCCAAACCAAGCGAAAAAUAUCCACUGAAUCUCUCUCGCUGCUCGCGGCCGCGGCGACCGGACUAAGGAAGGAAUCGAAGGCGACGAUGGCGUGCCGAGCCCUCGCGCUCCGCUCCUUGCUGCUCCCCGACCCCCUCCACCACCUGAGUCUCCGCGCCGCCGCGUCGGCCCCGGCGGCGCCGUUUCCUUGUCGCCGCCGCCGCCGCAACCUCCGCUGCUGCUCCAGCUCCAGUGGGGGCGGGCCCGGGGAGCAGGGACAGCCGCCGCAGG
rnacentral:lncRNA from 1 species